rnacentral:rRNA from 1 species
GACGGAAGGUGCAAGCGUUGCUCGGAAUCACUGGGCGUAAAGGGUGCGCAGGCGGGAGUGCAAGUCAGAGGUGAAAUCUCACGGCUCAACCGUGAAACUGCCUUUGAUACUGCAUUUCUUGAGUUAGGGAGAGGUUGAUGGAAUUCCAGGUGUAGCGGUGAAAUGCGUAGAUAUCAGGAGGAACACCUGUGGUGUAGACAGCUUACUGGACCACUUCUGACGCUGAGACACGAAAGCGUGGGUAGCAAACAGG